CCUACGGUGUGCAGCAGUGGGGAAUAUUGGACAAUGGGCGAAAGCCUGAUCCAGCCAUGCCGCGUGUGUGAAGAAGGCCUUCGGGUUGUAAAGCACUUUCAGUGGGGAAGAAAGCCUUGGGGCUAAUACCCUCGAGGAAGGACAUCACCCACAGAAGAAGCACCGGCUAACUCCGUGCCAGCAGCCGCGGUAAUACGGAGGGUGCGAGCGUUAAUCGGAAUUACUGGGCGUAAAGCGCGCGUAGGCGGUCUGAUAAGCCGGUUGUGAAAGCCCCGGGCUCAACCUGGGAACGGCAUCCGGAACUGUCAGGCUAGAGUGAAGGAGAGGAAGGUAGAAUUCCCGGUGUAGCGGUGAAAUGCGUAGAGAUCGGGAGGAAUACCAGUGGCGAAGGCGGCCUUCUGGACUGACACUGACGCUGAGGUGCGAAAGCGUGGGUAGCAAACAGGAUUAGAUACCCGAGUAGUC
rnacentral:rRNA from 1 species